CGGGGUGCAGCAGGCGCGAAAACUUUGCAAUACACGAAAGUGUGACAGGGCUAUCCCGAGUGCCAUCCGCUGAGGAAGGCUUUUACCCAGUCUAGAACGCUGGGGGAAUAAGGAGAGGGCAAGUCUGGUGUCAGCCGCCGCGGUAAUACCGGCUCUCCGAGUGGUGUGGAUGUUUAUUGGGCCUAAAGCAUCCGUAGCUGGCUAAGUUAGUCCCUUGUUAAAUCCACCGAAUUAAUCGUUGGAUUGCGGGGGAUACUGCUUGGCUAGGGGACGAGAGAGGCAGACGGUAUUUCCGGGGUAGGGGUGAAAUCCUAUAAUCCCGGGAAGACCACCAGUGGCGAAGGCUGUCUGCUAGAACGCGCCCGACGGUGAGGGAUGAAAGCUGGGGGAGCGAACCGGAUUAGAUACCCGGGUAGUCCCAGCUGUAAACGAUGCAGGCUAGGUGUUUGGACGGCCACGUGCCGUUCUAGUGCCGCAGGGAAGCUGUUAAGCCUGCCGCCUGGGGAGUACGAUCGCAAGAUUGAAACUUAAAGGAAUUGGCGGGGAGCAC
rnacentral:rRNA from 1 species